AACGCUGGCGGCGUGCGUAACACAUGCAAGUCGAACGAGAAUGUACUGACAGAUCCUUAGGGUGAAGAUAGUACAGGACAGUGGCGGAUGGGUGAGUAACGCGUAAGAAACCUGCCUUUCACACCGGGAUAGCAGCUGGAAACGGCUAUUAAUACCGGAUGACACUUUUUCCCCGCAUGAGGAAGAGGUUAAAGAAUUUCGGUGAAAGAUGGUCUUGCGUCUGAUUAGCUAGUUGGUGGGGUAACGGCCUACCAAGGCGACGAUCAGUAGCCGGCCUGAGAGGGUGUACGGCCACAUUGGGACUGAGACACGGCCCAAACUCCUACGGGAGGCAGCAGUGGGGAAUUUUGCACAAUGGAGGAAACUCUGAUGCAGCGACGCCGCGUGAACGAAGAAGGUCUUCGGAUUGUAAAGUUCUGUCCUGGGUGAAGAUAAUGACGGUAACUCCGGAGGAAGCCCCGGCUAACUACGUGCCAGCCGCCGCGGUAA
rnacentral:rRNA from 2 species